rnacentral:rRNA from 1 species
CCUUUAGGUUCGGAAUAGCUCCUGGAAACGGGUGGUAAUGCCGAAUGUGCCCUUCGGGGGAAAGAUUUAUCGCCUUUAGAGCGGCCCGCGUCUGAUUAGCUAGUUGGUGAGGUAACGGCUCACCAAGGCGACGAUCAGUAGCUGGUCUGAGAGGAUGACCAGCCACACUGGGACUGAGACACGGCCCAGACUCCUACGGGAGGCAGCAGUGGGGAAUCUUGCGCAAUGGGCGAAAGCCUGACGCAGCCAUGCCGCGUGAAUGAUGAAGGUCUUAGGAUUGUAAAAUUCUUUCACCGGGGACGAUAAUGACGGUACCCGGAGAAGAAGCCCCGGCUAACUUCGUGCCAGCAGCCGCGGUAAUACGAAGGGGGCUAGCGUUGCUCGGAAUUACUGGGCGUAAAGGGCGCGUAGGCGGAUCGUUAAGUCAGAGGUGAAAUCCCAGGGCUCAACCCUGGAACUGCCUUUGAUACUGGCGAUCUUGAGUAUGAGAGAGGUAUGU